rnacentral:rRNA from 1 species
GAUGAACGCUGGCGGCGUGCCUAAUACAUGCAAGUCGAGCGAACAGAUGAGGAGCUUGCUCCUCUGACGUUAGCGGCGGACGGGUGAGUAACACGUGGAUAACCUACCUAUAAGACUGGGAUAACUUCGGGAAACCGGAGCUAAUACCGGAUAAUAUAUUGAACCGCAUGGUUCAAUAGUGAAAGACGGUUUUGCUGUCACUUAUAGGUGGAUCCGCGCCGCAUUAGCUAGUUGGUAAGGUAACGGCUUACCAAGGCGACGAUGCGUAGCCGACCUGAGAGGGUGAUCGGCCACACUGGAACUGAGACACGGUCCAGACUCCUACGGGAGGCAGCAGUAGGGAAUCUUCCGCAAUGGGCGAAAGCCUGACGGAGCAACGCCGCGUGAGUGAUGAAGGUCUUCGGAUCGUAAAACUCUGUUAUUAGGGAAGAACAAAUGUGUAAGUAACUAUGCACGUCUUGACGGUACCUAAUCAGAAAGCCACGGCUAACUACGUG